UGGGGAAUCUUGCGCAAUGGCCGAAAGGCUGACGCAGCGACGCCGCGUGCGGGAGGACGCCCUUCGGGGUGUAAACCGCUGUCGGCGGGGACGAACCCCUGGGAGAGGAAAUGCUCCCAGGCUGACGGUACCCGCAGAGGAAGCACCGGCUAACUCCGUGCCAGCAGCCGCGGUAAUACGGAGGGUGCGAGCGUUGUUCGGAAUUAUUGGGCGUAAAGCGCACGUAGGCGGUUGGGUAAGUCUCAUGGUGAAAGGCCGGGGCUCAACUCCGUGCUUGCCAGGGAUACUGCCCGACUGGAGACAGGGAGAGGCCAGUGGAAUUCCGGGUGUAGCGGUGGAAUGCGUAGAGAUCCGGAAGAACACCGGAGGCGAAGGCGGCUGGCUGGCCCUGAUCUGACGCUGAGGUGCGAAAGCGUGGGGAGCGAACAGG
rnacentral:rRNA from 1 species